CAGUAACGGCGAGUGAAGCGGAAAAAGCCCAGCACCGAAUCCCCCAGUGUGACGCUGGCGGGAACUGUGGUGUGCGGGACGCCAUGAGCCGCAGCAGCGGGCGCCGAAGUUCUCCUGAUCGAGGCUUCACCCAGAGCGGGUGUAAGGCCUUUACGGGUGCUUUUGGCUGCGCGGCCGCGAGCGUCUCAGGAGUCGGGUUGUUUGGGAAUGCAGCCCUAAGCGGGUGGUAAACUCCAUCUAAGGCUAAAUACUUGCACGAGUCCGAUAGCGGACAAGUACCGUGAGGGAAAGUUGAAAAGAACUUUGAAGAGAGAGUUCAAGAGUACGUGAAACCGCUCAGAGGUAAACGGGUGGAUCCGCAAAGUCGGCCCGUGGAACUCAGCGCGGCGUCGUCGGAGCUGUCGCGGUUCGGGAUCCCUUUGUGACUCAGCCGCGGCGCCGCUCCGGUCUUCGUCGCGUGCACUUUCCACGGGCAGAGCGCCACGACCGGUUCGUGCCCGGCGGCCAGAAGCCCGGGUGGGGAAGGUAGGCGAGGUGCCUCGCGCAGCUCGCUGUUACAGCCCCCCCGCGGUGGGGCCGCUGCCGGACCGAGGGACGUCCGCGCUAGCCUUUCGAGGCCGCCCGGGUCCUCGCGGGGAGUUCGACUGGCAGAGACUGGGCAACCGUGUCUGCCGACCGCUCCCUCGCGACGGGCUCGGUGUCGGCCGGGGUGCGCUGAGGGUCUGUGGCGAAUCAGUCGGCAUUCCACCCGACCCGUCUUGAAACACGGACCAAGGAGUCUAGCGUGCGCGCGAGUCAAUGGGCGGUACGAAACCCAAAGGCGAAGUGAAAGCGAGGGUCGCCCCGGGCUGACCCAGGUGGGAUCCCUCCUCCCCCGCAUAGGGGUGGGGGGCGCACCACCGGCCCGUCCCGUCUGCGCCGUCAGUGGGGCGGAGCAUGAGCGCGCGCGCUGGGACCCGAAAGAUGGUGAACUAUGCCUGAGUAGAACGAAGCCAGAGGAAACUCUGGUGGAAGUCCGUAGCGAUUCUGACGUGCAAAUCGAUC
rnacentral:rRNA from 1 species